rnacentral:snoRNA from 10 species
AAGACUAUACUUUCAGGGAUCAUUUCUACAUUUCCGGGUAAUUUCUUUGAACAUGUGGAGCACCGGAAACCACCAGGAGGAGGCACAGCAUUUUCUCUGGAGCGUGAAGCCAGUUCUUGGUGUUGCUGCAUAGCAACUGCCAUUUGCCUUUGAUGAUCAUUCUUCUUUUCCUUUAGGAGAAUAAGAGGGGGAGAACCCAGUCUGAGGG